rnacentral:lncRNA from 1 species
GGUGACCUAUGUAACAAAACUUUCCCCUGUGCUUUAACUACAACGACCCGACCCGCCAGCUAUAAUAACUCGUUGGGCCCAACCACCGGACCAAAAUGCUUAAGCCCAGUUAUUAUUACUAGCGUACGAGAUCUCAUAUACAGAUCACAGAUAGACAGACAAGGACUAGAAUUACUAGGCGAUGUGAGAUUCUAGAGGUGGCUCCUACGGUGGUUCCCACCAAAUCCGUUGGUGUAGCACUUUGUCCCGCAUAACACUUAGCUCUCACACUUUCGGCUGGUAUUGAUACCAAUUGUAACGACCUGACCCGCUAGCAAUAAUAACUCGUUGGGCCAAACCACCGGCCCAAAAUACUUAAGCCCAGUUAUUAUUACUAGCGUGUAGGUCUCAUAUAAACUGAUCGGAAUCAGUAUUCCAUCCGAUGUGGGACUAUUGGGGGCAUUACAAACUCCCUCUGUUUAGACCCUGACGUCCUCGUCGGGUCCAAACCAGAUCACAAACAGACAGACCAGGACCAUUACCAGGCGAUGUGAGAUUCUAGAGGUGGCUCCUAAGGGUUCAAGAGGUAGCUCCUAAGGGUUCAAGAGGUGGCUCCCACCAAACCCGUUGGUGUAGCACUUUGUCCCGCAUAGCACUUAGUUCUCACACUUUCGGCUGGUAUUCGGCUCUGAUACCAAUGCAACGAUUCGACCCGCUAGCAACAAUAACUCGUUGGGCCCAAAUCACCGGCCCAAAAUGCUUAAGCCCAGUUAUUAUUACUAGCGUAUAGGCCUCAUAUAAAUCGAUCGAAAUCAGUAUCCCACCCGAUGUGGGACUAGUGUUUACACCCUGACGUGCUCGUUGGGUCCAAACCAGAUCACAAACAGACAGACCAAGACCAUUACCAGGCGAUGUGAGAUUCUAGAGGUGGCUCCUACGAGUUCAAGAGGUGGCUCCCACCAAAUUCGUUGGUGGGCCCAAAAUGCUUAAGCCCAGUUAUUAUUAUUAGCGUGUAGGUCUCAUAUAAACUGAUCGGAAUCAGCAUCCCAUCCGAUGUGGGACUAUUGGGGGCAUUACAAACUCCCCCUAUUUAGAUCCUGACGUCCUCGUCGGGCCCGAACCAGAUCACAGACAGACAGACCAGGACCAUUACCAGGCGAUGUGAGAUUCAAGAGGUGGCUCCUACGGGUUUAAGAGGUGACUCCCACCAAAUCCGUUGGUGUAGCACUUUGUCUCGUACAGCACUUAGCUCUCACACUUCCGUCUGGUAUUCGGCUCUGAUACCUAUUACAACGACCUGACCCGCCAGCAAUAAUAACUCGUUGGGCCUAACUACCAGCCCAAAAUGCUUAAGCCCAAUUAUUAUUACUAGCGUACGAGACCUCAUAUACAGAUCACAGAUAGACAGACCAGGACCAGAAUUACUAGGCGAUGUGAGAUUCUAGAGGUGGCUCUUACGGGUUCAAGAGGUGGCUCCCACCAAAUCUAUUGGUGUAGCACUUUGUCCCGCAUAGCACUUAGCUCUCACACUUCCGGCUGGUAUUUGGCUCUGAUACCAAUUGUAACAACCCGACCCGCUAGCAAUAAUAACUCGUUGGGCCAAACCACCGGCCCAAAAUGCUUAAGCCCAAUUAUUAUUACUAGCGUGUAGGUCUCAUAUAAACUGAUCGGAAUCAGUAUUCUAUCCGAUGUGGGACUAUUGGGGGCGUUACAUUAACUGACGUGAAUGAGUUGAAUUUCCACAACAAGGGCA